AUACGGAGGAUCCGAGCGUUAUCCGGAUUUAUUGGGUUUAAAGGGAGCGUAGGCGGACGCUUAAGUCAGUUGUGAAAGUUUGCGGCUCAACCGUAAAAUUGCAGUUGAUACUGGGUGUCUUGAGUACAGUAGAGGCAGGCGGAAUUCGUGGUGUAGCGGUGAAAUGCUUAGAUAUCACGAAGAACUCCGAUUGCGAAGGCAGCCUGCUGGACUGUAACUGACGCUGAUGCUCGAAAGUGUGGGUAUCAAACAGGAUUAGAUACCCUGGUAGUCCGCACAGUAAACGAUGAAUACUCGCUGUUUGCGAUACACUGUAAGCGGCCAAGCGAAAGCGUUAAGUAUUCCACCUGGGGAGUACGCCGGCAACGGUGAAACUCAAAGGAAUUGACGGGG
rnacentral:rRNA from 1 species